rnacentral:rRNA from 1 species
UACGGAGGGUGCAAGCGUUAUUCGGAAUUACUGGGCGUAAAGGGCGUGUAGGUGGUCUGAUAAGUCAGGUGUGAAAGCCCUUGGCUUAACCAAGGAAGUGCAUCUGAAACUAUCAGACUUGAGUACGGGAGGGGGAAGUGGAAUUCCUGGUGUAGAGGUGAAAUUCGUAGAUAUCAGGAGGAAUACCGGUGGCGAAGGCGACUUCCUGGACCGAUACUGACACUGAUACGCGAAAGCGUGGGGAGCAAACAGG